GAUGAGAAAAGCAACGGAAUAAUCGUUUCCGGUCGCACUACCGUCGGGAGAACUCCUCGCGGAAUUGAAACGAGUUCGGUUGACGAAUAACGAUUCGUUCGCGGCUUCGCUGUUGCAAUCGUUGCUCCGAUUGAAGUGAUUCCGUGAGGCACCCAAGUGAUUUCCCAAGGAUAACGCGACGACGCCCGCGCCUCUACCCAGCGAAGGUUCGCCCCCACUUCCCGAUCGAACGCAUCGGCGGCGACGGGCGACGGGCGACGGGCGACGGGUGUUGAAUUCACUCGACCUCGGGACCUCCGGACUGAGAUAUGUUGAACGCGACACCGCGCACGUCCGUCCGACGUAUGUAUCUGCUGUACAUGUACGUACGUACGUACCUAUACGUAUAACUUGGAUCAUCGUAGGAACGCCGCUACAGUACACGCCGAACGACCGUUAUAUCACGUUAUUGGUAUGUAAUACCCGUCGACUAUACGUACACAGUAUGGAGGUAGAGGCGCGUCUGUGUAGGUACAAAGGUGCGGCUCACGAUCGUCGGAAAAAACAAUCGUAGGAACGGUUCAUUGUUCGAUGAUUCGUGUAGCGAUGGAAUUUUCAAGUCUUGAGAACAACGGGGACUCGGGAGACGAUGCGUGCGUUACGAAGAAGAGAAGACGAAUAGAAGGAGGAAUCAAAGAGGUCGUUUUCAUUCACGCGUCUGCCGUUGAUGUAUGCUGUAAAGUUGACCUGGAAGUUUUUGGUGAUUUACUCGAGUAAACGUCGUAUAACGUGUAUAGGUAUACGUACGUUUACUCGGGGUAAACUAAAGUAGGACCGGCCUGCGGCAGACUGUUUGUAAUUCAGGCCCACCGUCCCUACCACCACACCUAUGUAUCCAGCAUACGUGUUACAUACGGUGCCGGACGUAGAGGAAUGCAGUCUGAACAGAAAUAGACCUUCCAGUGACUUGUGCCGAGAAGUGCAACGGAUCGGAAUAGGCCAUUGAG
rnacentral:misc_RNA from 1 species